CCUACGGGAGGCAGCAGUGGGGAAUAUUGCACAAUGGGGGAAACCCUGAUGCAGCGACGCCGCGUGAGUGAAGAAGUAAUUCGUUAUGUAAAGCUCUAUCAGCAGGGAAGAAAAUGACGGUACCUGAGUAAGAAGCCCCGGCUAACUACGUGCCAGCAGCCGCGGUAAUACGUAGGGGGCAAGCGUUAUCCGGAUUUACUGGGUGUAAAGGGAGCGUAGACGGCAGUGCAAGUCUGGAGUGAAAGGCGGGGGGUCAACCCCCGGACUGCUCUGGAAACUGUACGGCUGGAGUGCAGGAGAGGUAAGUGGAAUGCCGAGGGUAGCGGUGAAAUGCGUAGAUAUUAGGAGGAACACCAGUGGCGAAGGCGGCUUACUGGACUGUAACUGACGUUGAGGCUCGAAAGCGUGGGGAGCAAACAGGAUUAGAUACCCGAGUAGUC
rnacentral:rRNA from 1 species